rnacentral:lncRNA from 1 species
CAACCUUAUGGAAACCACAGCCGUUAAUAAAAUACAGCUGACGCAAUCCUUUUGAGGAUAAACGAAAAUGAACAAGGCCACCUAUGCAUUGGCUUCAGUUGGGGACAUGCAAAAUAGGUGGCUUCUGGAUAGAGAGGGAUACACCCCAACGAAGCUAGAGAGAAGACCGAUAGGUUUGCAGAGAUAAGCGUCUUUCUCUUUCUACUCGACCAAAGCCGUCUCUCUUUCAAUCUCUUAACGAAAUCAGUUUCCCUCUCGACCCCCACUCCAAGAUCUCUUCGAUUUGAACCGUUCUACCUCAAAGAGGGAAAUGAGGGGGUUGUCCCCAAGUGUCCCUGUGCGAGAUAUGAGCAUAUCCACUCCCCAUCCCCUGAAUUUGGCCUUAUAUAUCCAUUUACUUUGCUGACUUCUUAAGAAGAAGUCGUCUGAUUCAGAUAAGAAGUUUUCUGAAAAAGCAGAGGAAAGUAAUAAGAUCAAUAAUGGAUGGGAAAGUAGAGGAAGGGGAAGUUGGUGGAGCAGUGACUGCCACUACCAAGACUAAGACCCGCUUGACCACAUAUGCUUUUGCCAGUGCAGUCCUGGCUUCCAUGAACUCAAUUCUCCUUGGCUACGGUGAGUUUCUUCCUUCUCUUCUUUCAUGCAAUAUGCUCCUUUAAAUGCUUGAAAAUGGGUCCCUAACUUUGUUUCGUGACUUUUGGAAACCUGGGUUCUCUCUCUCUCUCUCUC